rnacentral:lncRNA from 1 species
UUUUUUUUUGUUGUUGUUAGCUGGACGCUGCAAUUUCAUAUGCUCGAUUUUCUUUGAUGCUUUGGUUUUCUUUCCCUGUACUUGUGUACAAUACUUACUGUCCGGUCAUAUCGGACUUUCAAGGGAGAAACUAGUAAGAUAAUAUAGAUCAAUUGAUUUCUGCACCGGCUUGAGGCCUUUCUUACUUGCUAAACUAGCAUUUACAUUUAAACUGUAUAAUUCCUUGUUUGACAGAUGACAGAUCGAUACACUUUGACACUAGCAAUGUUAUUGUUUGUGUGGCCUUCAGUUUCGUGGUUGCCAUCAGAUUUAGUUAACUAAUUAAUGCCUACUAGAUAGUAUAAAAUGGUGAUGCCUGUACUGGGGAGUUUCAAUCAGCAAUAAUACAAGAAAAGUUUACUUUUGUCCUCCCCGUAAAUUAUUAGACGAUAGAUUCUAGAUUGGUAGUGUCAUUGUGUAUAUUGGCACAUCACUGAUCUUAUAACAUGGGCCAGGUUGAAAUUUACAGCAGAUACACUGAAAACUUAGGCUGAAGCAUGAUUGGCCAAUUUAUAACUUGACUAGUACAUUAAAGCUUAAAUUAUUGUUUUGUAUUUCAGGUAGAUCAUGUGUUAAUAUUUACCUGCAGACUGUUGCCCCUUUAGUGGGGAUGUUGGAUAAAAAAAUGUCUUAAUAUUUACCUUGCUCUUUCGUGCUCAUUUCACAUUUUCUAAUAAUAGUUUACCUACCGAUGCUGAAAUGAUCUGAUUUAAAAUUUUACAAGUUUCAUAAAUCUUAAGUUAAUACUGUUGAUUUAACGAGCGAGCUGCUUUGUCCUUUGUUCACAGGUAUCAGCAGUUUGAAGCAGAAGUAGCUUACAUGGAAUGCUGACUCUUGCAGGAGUGACUAUGACCAUCGAUCAUAGUUGUCAACUUGCUCGACGUGUAGAAACUAUCUAAUGCUCUGGUACUAUUUUCAGCAAUCCUAUAUGUAAUCGUCAACUGAACUCUGAAAUGCCUGGAUCCAUUCGGCAGUAUUGAGUAAUGAUUUUUCUUUCUUCGAUCAGUUGGAACCCCUUCCAGUUUGAUGCCAAAUUUCGGUUUGAGCCAUAUUCAUGUUGAAAUAUCCUCUCGCGGUGUCAUAGAGCAAGAAAUUUUUGUAUUGUUGCAUCUGGCUGGCCAUGGCCAUGGCUGACGAUAUGCCCUUUGCUGAACCCCAGACGGCUGGUUUGGUCUGGGCAUAUGGGCUCUGUGUAGCGUGGUGGUGAGCCAUGGCAGCAAUCAGCUGAGAUCCUCAGCUUCUACCACCAUGAAUGUGAGUUCUGCAAAGGGACUUGCCGGUGUUUUGUGUACCAGUUAAAUUGUGUCAUUAGCUUUGUUUUGCAAAAACCUAUCAAAAGCCCUGUAAGGGCUUGUUUUUUAUAGACAAUUCCUUCGUAUAAGUAGGGAUUUUAGAGGGCAAUUCAUAUGUUUUUGGAUAACAAUCCCUGUAUUGAAAUUCUAGAGAAGGAAUGUUCUCCCAAUUCAAUGGCUGAAACAGACGAACUUGAUUUCAGAUGCCUUGGAAUUACGCCAAUCUAACCGACAGCACGAACCAGGGACAUUUGUAGGCUGAGGAUACAAUGUGGAUCAACUGUCAUCUGAACCCCUAAAUAACAGCCAGUGUGCCAGACAGCAAAGAGAAACAAACCAAUUUGCAGCAAUGAGAGCCAUCACAUUCAACAGAAGCAAUCGACCAAAGAAGAAACUAAACUGCAAACAGCUUAGUCUAUGACAGAAACUCAGGAACAUGUCGCCACACAAUCUCAGGCCAACACAGUUAGAGCAGAAGCGCUGAAUCAUCACAAUCACAUGGACAAAACGCAGCAAAAUCUUAUCACCCAGGCAUAGCACCACUGCAAAGUCUCGAUUCCGCAGACGCAUCUUGCUACAUUAUUCAUUCAAGCAGAGAGUACUGUAUGAUGCGAAUUCCCAACAUCCAACGGCGGACAUGGUGUGGUUUCGGUACCAGUGCUUCCUUCGGAGCGAGUCAGGCCUGCGGCUUGUCGGCGGCGGCGGCGGCCGGCUCCGGCUGGGGCUUGGGCUGGGCCUGCGCCGGGGUGAGCGCCUUGAUGGAGACGGCGUGGAUCUCGGCCAUGAGCGGCGCCAGCGCGGUGUUGACCAUCCGGUGGCGCUCCAGCAGCCGCUUCCCCUCGAACUUGUCCGAGACCACCUCGAUCUCGUAGCUCGCGCCGCACCUUCGCACCAAUCACAAUCCCAUCAAUCAACCAAGACCACCAAUCGAACGAACAAGCUUACAGGGGAGAAAAGGAGUAGAAGUUGCGGGAGAUCGUGUGGGCUGCUUACCCGCCGGAUGUAUCGGUGACCACCUGAAAUCGCAGGAACAACACACGGGUUAGGUUAGGGUUUAAGGCGGAGACGGACCAUGGGCGGACUGGCGGAAGGGGUUUGGAGAGAGAUGGGAGGGAGGCUUACGAGGUGGGUGGGGCUGAGCGCGGCGGCGACGGCGGCCUCCACGUCCUCCUUGGUCACGCCCAUGGCUGGUCUGUUCGCGAUUUCGCCUCCUCUCGGUCUCUGUCUGUUCCGGCGGAGCCAAGGCAAGGCAAACAAGAAGGCGACUUUCAACUUGCCUGUGCCUUCCUCCUAUCAAUUUAUCCCACUUGCCCCGGAGAAUAUUUCGGAUGCUGUGGUCUCGGCGGAGUCACGAAUUUGCCCGUCACCAAUGUUCUUCCUGAAGUCGUAGUGGUCUAGGAAUCGAAUAUUUGGUGUUUUUUCUUUCCUAUAUGGCUGGGGGAUUUCAGGGAACAACAUACUCCCUGCUUUUCGAAUUAUAAGAUGUUCUAGUGAAAAAAAAUCUGAACCGGGUGUAUAUAGUUUACAUACAUACACUCCAAAUUGUUGGGGAAUAGGAGGAUAAAGAGCACUUGUAAUUGUUCGACACCACAUAUUAAUCCAAAACAAUAUUGCUAGUUUCCGGAAAAAACACACCAAUAUAUUAGUUUGACAUUGCAUAGAAGAAACGGGCACCUCAGUCAGACGAGUUCCAAACACAGGGAGUUGUUACACAAUUGUAUCAUCACAGGCUAAAAACCCUACAGUCCAACAGUGAUACUGCAGCAGAUGACAGACAACCCAUGUCAUCUGCUAACCAAACGCACACUACUCAUAGUCGACCAUCAGCAGGAUCCCCCGUCAAACUUCAUGGCUCACGCCGUUCGCAGAGGCGGGGAGACCAAUAUGACACCAUCGCCUCGGACAAAAAGGAAGGGGAUGGCACGCCUGGUU